GGCAUAUGGAAGUUCCCAGAUUAGGGGUCCAAUGAGAGCUACAGCUGCUGGCAUACCACAGCAACAGCAACUCCAGAUUCAAGCCACAUCUGCAGCUGACACCUCAGCUCAUGGCAAUGAUGGAUCCUUGACCCACUGAGCCAGGCCAGGGAUUGAACACAUAUCCUCAUGGAUACUAGUCAGGUUUGUUUCUGCUGCACCACAGUGAGAAUUCCUGGAUAGGAUAUUUUAUAGGCUCAUGAUGACUAAGGAAAUUCCAGGCUUUGUAUCCACUAUCAGAGCAAAAAAGUGUCUGAGAAUUCUCCUAUAAAGUCUUUAUAAUCAUGCUAAUUAAGUCAUCCCUUAGCAAAUUUCUUAAAUAAGAUUAUACUCAUAAUGAGGUUAUUACUUGGUACCUUAUUCACAAAUGUCCUCAGUUGGUACCACUAUUUCUUCUCCUUCUAACUACUUCUCUAUUUCAGAUCGCACUCCUAAUGUUAUAUUCCCACAGCAGGUAAGAGGCGAUCUUGAUCACUCCUGUCCUCUACCUGAUAUUUCGGUGCGAAUAAAAUUUACCUAUUUUCUCUCUGCCAGAAGUAAUUGGUUGGGAAUGGAACCAAUUGAUGGUAACAGUGGCGAUGUUGAGGAUGACAAUCAGUGCCAUUUGUCGAGUGAUUAAUUGCUUACCAAGAACUUUCCUACAUAUGAUCUUACAUAACCUCUGUAUCACUUAUGAUAAAAUGAAUCUCUUGGUGGCAUGGAAGGCACUUUGGAAUCUAUACAUGGAAAUGCAGAGAUUGCAUAGCACCUCUCAGAUCAAAUGUAGGCAAUCGCUUCUCCUGCAUGUCUAAAGGAACAGCUUUGCUUGAGAGGUCAAUGAACAUUAGAAUCCCAGAAUCUACUCCAACUGUCUGUGACUGUCUCAGAAUCGCCCCACUAUUUCAGUUAAAACUUUGAAUUAAAUUGUGUCCAAAUUUAAUUUUAAAUAUUGUGGACUUCCCUGCUCUCUUUCUGAAAAUCCAACCCUGUGCUAUCUUCCAAAUUUAAGGUAAAUUACAUUUCAAACAUUCAGUCUUUGGCAGAUACUAAUGUGAGCUCAUAUUUUUGGAUACACAAAUAAGAAAAACAGCUAUUUUUAUCCUAGUUAAAUAAUGCACAUUCAUAGACACUAUUUCCUUUGAUCUUCAUGAUUCUAUCAGUCAGUAAAUGUGAUAAACAUUUGUUAACUGGAUAGUAUGUGCCAUAUAGUAUAUAUUAAAAAGUGUAGAUAUAAUAUAAAUAAAUCUGUAACUAUCAUAUGCUCUUCAUGCCAAAUAUGCAACCUAUGAAUUACUGAUGGAAACUUUAGAAAUUAGGAAUUUACAGCUCAGAGAGGUCAAGUGAUUUUCCCAAUAGUAUGCAGCUAAAAACUACUGAAACUAGAACUCAGUCUGAGUCUUCUGAUUCAAAGUCCUAUGGAUUUUGUAUGAUAACAAUUGCUGCCUCAGACACUCAUGAUGCACAUUAGAAAUAAAUUUCCUCAGCUUAUCUCUUGGUUAGAAAUUUAAAAUCGACUCAAAGAAUAAUUUAUUGUAUGUGUGUGUUUAUGUGUGUGUGUGUGUGUAAGUGUUUCUCUGCUUCUGUUUGAGGAUUCAUGGUCUAGACAGCCAUGGCUGCAAGAAUUCACUAGUGGGCCAUUAUGAUGAUGUUUGUUCUUUCUCACUAAUAUCAUAAAUGAAUAUAAGGUUUGAUAGCUCUAAAUGACAGAAAAAUAUUUUUAUAGGUGUAACAGGCACCCAUGUCUUUGUAAUUAAACUUGCCUGAAAAAAGACCAGAUGCAUCAACUUAUUUAUGCUUCUUAUUGUACAACCUCUUUUCAUGUUAUUUUAUUUAACAUAAAGGGUACUUUUAAUUAUGCAGAGCUACAAACUGCAUUAUUGAUAUUCUGUAAACAUUAACUACACUUGACUCUAACAAAGCAAAAACAAAAUGCUGUCUCAUUUUUUUUUCUUUAAGAUUCUUAGAAAGAAAGAAAGUCUGGGUUAUAAAAUAAAGGUAGCUAGAAGCAUUAUCUUCCUUGAGUUGCUACUAUAUGAGGAUAUGGAUGGAGUCAUUUUCACUGUUGAGAUUUUCCAGCUCUAUACCUUUUGCCCAAAUGUUCCUGAAUUGCAGUAUCAUAUUUAAAAAAUAAUACUGGAGAUUUGUCAUCUGACUCUACUUGGCUUACUUUCAUUUGUUUUAAAUAUUCUAUGGAGUCCUUGGUAGAUUUACAAGAAUAUCUCAAAAGGGUAGACUUCCAAUUGGCAUUUGAUUCAGGACUCUGGAGUCUGUCAGUUGGGUUAACUUCUUAACAAAUUUAAAGGAAGUAGCUAGUUUCCAGGAUGGGGUACACUAAAUGACUUUUCACUCAGAUUUGUAUUGCUUUCUGUUGCUUUACCAGUUAAGUUCAGUUUUAUAGAGUGAGACUGAGAGAGAGGGAAAGAGAAUAGUUGCCCGAUUGCAGUGGUGUGGUCUUCACCUACUAGUCUGUUAUAUGUAAGUCACGUGGAAUUUUAUUGCCAUUGGAAGGUCAUGAAAAAGGUAAUCAUAAAAUUAAUAACUACUGUCUUCCAAGCUUAAGGAAAUUACAAGAAUCAAGUAAUCAGGAGGCUUUGUCUGGCUUUAUUCUCACUAUAUAGGGCAUAUUCAGCCUAAAACUGCUUCCAUAUUAGGAUCAACUAUGAAAAAUUAAAAAUAGUUUGAGUAAAAUGACUUCCAAUAUUAUAUAGCUCUGGGAGUAAAAAAUACAUACACCAUUGGAAUCAUCUUUAUAUUUUGGGCUUGGUUCAAAAUUUUGCUGCAAGUGAGCAUUUAUGAGCAUUUUUUAUGGCAUUGCACUUGAAAUUGUGCUUGUGUUGCUUAGGUGGUCUGAUCUUUUAUUCAUUUCCUCACUGACAAAUGCAUAAUAGGUAUUUUCUCUCUGAGUAAAGAAGAAAACUAGUUAGUUAUGAUCCUUGUGUUUAUGGUAUAUUUGGAUAGAAAUAUGUUAUAGACAAAUAGAGAAAAACAAUUACAGGUGUUGUGAUCACUAGAAAAGGGCUUUAACAUGACUCUUAAAAUACCUUCAAUAAACUACAGGACAGGUAUGUAUGAUGGUUGAUGAAAUGGGGAAUUCUGGCGCAAUAUGGGAAAAAAUGAAAUUCUGGAAAUUAAAAACACAAUAUCUGAAAUACACGUAUUUUAUUCAAAGAGAUUAAAAACAAAUUGAAUACUCUAGAAGAAAGAUUAAAGAAGUUGAAGAUGCCUCAAUAGACCCUCAACUGAUGCAUAGAGAGCAGAAAAAUAAAAAAUAGUAACAAACUCAAUGAUCUGAUGAGGCCAUACUAAACCAUUUAAACGUGUGCAAUUGGAGCAUCAGAAGAAGGAAGGUUUAAUGUGGCAGAAAUAUACAUAUACAUAUAUAUUUUGUGUGUAUAUAUACAUAUACACAAAAAAUAGCUGAAAAUUUUCUAAAAUUAACAUUUCAAACAAAAUAUACAAGAAAUCCUACAAACCCCAGAGAAGAUAAGUGCAAAGCCAUACAAAAUACUAAAACCAUGCUUUUGCCCAUUAUAAUGAAAGUGCUGAAAAUCAAUAAUAUUUAGUAAGCUCUAAGAAAGAAACUAAGCAAAGAAGGAAGGACAAGGGAGCAAAAUGUUACUGGAAAUACUUUGUUGUCCAAUUCAGAUAUAAUUCUACCAAUACUAUUGCCCCAAAAUCACAGUUAAAAUAACAAUGACAAUAUCAAUUUAUAUAUAUAUAUGUAUAUUUAUAUAUAUAUAUGUAUAUUCAUAUAUAUACAUGCUAUUCUUGCAGGAUCUAUGUCAGACAAAUAAAAGUAAAGGAAACAAUUCCUAAGUUUUAAUGGAGUUAUUAGGGAAGCAGACUUUCUCUUUUCUCCUGGAUUUGACAUUAUGUAACACAUAUCUAAUUAUGUCACUUUUCUCCUUAAAAAAUCUUUAAUAGUGCAGUACAAAGAGCAUGAGAUAUGGGUUUAAACAUACUUCUGUUUUAACCCCAGUGCUGUAAGUUGUAAGUGGGGUAAACUUGGUCGUGUUUUGUACCCUCUCUAAGCCUCAAUUCCCUCAACAGCAAAUGGGGAUAAUCAUGCCAGUGGAAAAGCUUGUCAUGAAGAGGAAACCAGGUUCUUUAUUCAAAGAUGAUGGAUGUGGAGGUUCAAGAACCAUUACACUUUUCUCUUCCCCAACGCCCUCCCAACAGUACAUUAUUUAAUUUCAACUACUCAUCUACUUAUGGUGGCACAUCACAACCAUAUAAUCUGGUUCUACUAUGCCUGUACACUCAUGUUAUAGCAUUCCUCUCACUCCUUUCUAUUUAGCCAAUAUUCCAGCAUUGUUCUACUACAUAUCCCCCAUGAAUUUUUUAAUGAUGACUUUGCAGAUAUUACUGGUUCCACCAGGAUAUUCUUCUUCAUCCUUUCUACAAGAUAAACCACUCACAAACUUUAAAAUCUCACCUAGUCCUCAGGAUGUCUUUCUUGCCUAAGAUAAGGAAAUUUCCUUCUUCCUUUCUUCUGCCAUAUCUGGGACACUUUUAGAACACUGUGGUAUAAUCUAGUUUGGUUUAAACACAUAAAUCAUGAAGUCAUGUUCUAAGUUAAGAAGAGUUGAGUCCGAGUUUUUCAUGACUCUGAUUAUCAAAGUUUUCCAUGUCAUUGACCCAUAGCAUGUGCCCAACAAACAAUUCUCUGAACACAUGAAUUAAUGGCUGGAUGAAUCCUACUGGUGAGGUACAGGGCAAGUGAAGAGAUCAGUUAUAAUUCCAGUCCAAAAAAUCUAACUUCAAGCCUGAGAUUUACAAAUUUCUAGCUGCAUGUAGCCUUUGCUAAGUCACCUCAUUGUGUUUCUUUGUACUUAAUUUCUCUAUAUUUUCCUUCUGCCUGUUAGAAUUAAAUUGCCACUAGUUAUACGGAAACAGUUUAUAAAAAGUUUAUAAACUUUAAAAAGUUGUGUGCAUUUAUAUUACAUUACUUCUUUGUAUUAAGAAUCAAUAAAAGAAAUUGUUAUUUUGAUGACUAUUUAAAAUGAUUUUCCAAAACAGGCCAUGUCCUUUAUGUAACCCAAUGUUUUUUGUCGUGAUUCUUGUAUAUACCUUAAAUGUAUAACUCAUUUUACCCAUAGACUCUACUCUUGGGAGAAUGAGUAAGUAGGCUAGAAACAGCCUUGAAAGGAGAAUCAUUUUUGACAUUUCUAUGAAAUAUCUUUAAUUAAGUGAAUAAAGCUUUGGGAAGCAAAAGACAAAGGAAUAGUAUUCAGAGACAAAGAGGAGUUCCUGUUGUGACUCAGCAGGUUAAGAAUUGGACUUGGGUUCAAUCCCUGGCAUCGUUCAGUGGGUUAAGGACCCAGUGUUUCUGCAAGCUAUAGCAUAGGCGCAGGUGUGGUUCAGAUGCCCUGUUGCAGUGGCUGUGGCUUAGACUAGCCUGGGAAUGUCCCUAUGCCAUGGGGUGUGGCCCAAAAAAAAAAAAAAAAAGAAAAAAAAAAA
rnacentral:lncRNA from 1 species